GAUGAACGCUGGCGGCGUGCCUAAUACAUGCAAGUCGAGCGAACAGAUAAGGAGCUUGCUCCUUUGACGUUAGCGGCGGACGGGUGAGUAACACGUGGAUAACCUACCUAUAAGACUGUGAUAACUUCGGGAAACCGGAGCUAAUACCGGAUAACAUAUUGAACCGCAUGGUUCAAUAGUGAAAGGCGGCUUUGCUGUCACUUAUAGAUGGAUCCGCACCGUAUUAGCUAGUUGGUAAGGUAACGGCUUACCAAGGCAACGAUACGUAGCCGAUCUGAGAGGGUGAUCGGCCACACGGGAACUGAGCCACGGUCCAGACUCCUACGGGAGGAGGCAGUAGGGAAUCUGCCGCAAUGGGCGAAAGCAUGACGGAGCAACGCCGCGUGAGUGAUGAAGGUCUUCGGAUCGUAAAACUCUGUUAUCAGGGAAGAACAAAUGUGUAAGUAACUGUGCACAUCUUGACGGUACCUGAUCAGAAAGCCACGGCUAACUACGUGCCAGCCGCCGCCGUAA
rnacentral:rRNA from 1 species